UUAUAAUGAUUGUCUAAAAAAUAACAAUGUUUAACAAACAAAAAAUGGUCAUCAACUCGAAAGCGUGAGAAACAAUCUAAACCUAAUGUAAAUAGCAGGUAGGUACAUCCACUCGAAUCGCGCUGCCGAUAUGUGAAAAUGUUUAGAUCAAAGUAAGCUCUCGCGCGUAUAGUGAUAUAAGUAGCGACACGAAAGUCUAGCGAUGACCAUUAUUGCGUAGUAGCCGGCCCGUCGCUUCCACCUUAAAGGCCAGCCUCUCAAGUUAAUGGAAACACCAGUCUUCAACGACACUCAAGCCUCAGUAAUUCACGUCAACCUAAGCUCCAUAAGCUUGCAAGGACUUCACAACCUCCAAGACAAGGUCAUAUUGCAAACUCCGAUGAAGCAAAGAUCUAUACCACAACUAUACCUUUUUAUGCAGUAAUGGCUGGUGCGAGUAUUCUAGGCACAAUUAUGAUACUGCGACGAUACACACUAAGAAGGAAACCGAAGGAAGUCCACCAGGAAGCUCAGCAGCAGCCCUCCAGACUGAAGAUAGAAACCCCUACGGACGUUCCGGCGACAUUUUCGUUAAACGUACUACAAUAAUCGCCGCACUGAGGGUGGAGGAGUUGCAUAUACCAUCGGUAUUCUUGUGGAAGGCCAGGCAUCGUCACAGGAACUAAUAUGUCUAGUAUAUUCAUACUACACUACGUGUGGAAAUCUGCUGAGAUAGCGCGGCCUAGAGCACGGCAUCAUCAAGGUCUUUACGUGAUCUCUGUUACCAGCAGCCUAACGUGUGAAUGCUCUAAAUAGCACAGAACAGAGACGGGCAGCAGCGUCACUGGUGCGAAGCAGCCUACAGCACUGCGCUGACCAACCCGCCUGCCCAGCGUGGUCAGUUUGGGCACUAUCAAUGAGCAGCGCCAACACACAAAGGCCCCCAGUUCCCGGCAGCCCUGCUAUUCCCGACUACGGUAGCGGUCGCGGUCACGGCAGGGCAGGGGGUGCUAAGAAUCACCGGGCUACGGAUGGCUACCAUACCAAACGACUUUAUUUGGCAGCAUACAACACCAGGACACUGAGAUCGGAUGAAAGCCUAGCCGAACUUGAGGUAAAGUUGGACAAAAUCAAGUGGAUUGACAGAAGUCCGUAGAGAGGGCGAGGAUACUCUGACACUAGAAUCGGGUCACGUACUCUACUAUCGAGAAGGCGAGCAGACAUCCCAAGGCGGAGUGGGAUUUCUGAUCAACAAAGUCCUCGCCAAUAACAUCGUGGAGAUCAGUAGUGUGUCGACGAGGGUAGCAUAUGUUAUGCUCAAAUUGAACCACAGGUAUUCCCUCAAAAAAGUGAAGGUCUAUGCGCUCACGUUGACACACUCUGAUGAAGAAGUAGAAGACAUAUACGAAGACAUCGUUCAGGCUAUGGAUAAGACUACCAGAUCCUACUUCAAGGUUGUUAUGGGGGACUUCAACGCAAAGGUGGGAGUACAAGAAUGCAACGAAUCGAGGAUCGGACCUUAUGGAGUUGGUGACAGGAACCACAGGGGGCAAAUGCUGGUCAACUUCCUGGAUAGGAGAGGUAUGUUCUUAAUGAACUCAUUUUUCAAGAAAAGUGCCCAGUGGACUUGGCAGAGCCCCGAUAACAUGACCAAAAACGAUAUUGACUUCUUCAUGAGGGAUCGUAGUGAUAUAUUCAGAGAUGUCUCCGUGAUCAACAGAUUUAAUACUGGAAGUGAUCACUGACUCGUAAGAGGCUCUCUGAAUUUAGAUUUUCAGCUCCAGAGACGACGUCUGAUGGGGUCCACUCUUCGCCCGAGACCACGCCAACCCAUAGUUGGGAGGAGCCAUUUGACGAAGUUGAGAACAUCGGAUGGCCAAACUGUUGCUUCAAAACCAGAGGUGUCAGCUGAGAUCGAGCAGUUUUACGGGCAGCUUUACUCUGCCCAUGCUUCGAAACCUGCACCCACCCAAACCACGAACGACUAACGUGCGAGACUUGUGCGCCACUAUACCGAUGACCUCCCGGAUAUCGACGUAGGUGAGAUUAGUAUAGCUCUCGGACAGCUGAAGAAUAACAAAGCCCCAGGUGAUGACGGUAUUACAGCGGAGCGUAGCGGGAAGCGGGUGGAUGAGGAAGGCGGAGGAUCGUGUUUGGUGGCGCGCUCUUGGAAAGGCCUAUGUCCAGCAGUGGACGCUUACAGGCUGAUGGAUUCGAUUGGAACGUGAUAAAGAAGGGACACGGAUAUAAAAACGCAAGAUUUAGUUAAUAAGGUCGUCAAUUUAAUCUUAGUCUACGAUAUUGUAACAUAGAUAAGUUAGUUAAGAAUAAAGUAAUAUUUAAGUCAAAAGUCUUCGUUUCCCUUCAUCCACCCUGGAACGCUGCCGCUUACGUUAUUAGUUUGUAAAUUUGUUUUUUUUUUUGAUUGUUUGUGACUUUAAACAGUGAUUAUGCCUAGAAGAAAUACUGUUACGAGAAGACAGGCACGAAAAAUGAUGUAUGACGUGCAUUGUUUUUUGAAAAGAGAAUCUAAUGAAUUAAUUGAUUCUUUAAAACAAAUCAAACUAAUCAAUCAAAUAAAAAAAACAUUAGUUCAAAUUGAUUGCAAUACUACGACUCAAUCAUUUCGCUUCGGGAAAACAACCAUUAAAAUUUCAGCGUUUAGAUUCUUCAAGUUCC